UACGUAGGGUGCAAGCGUUGUCCGGAAUUAUUGGGCGUAAAGAGCUCGUAGGCGGCUUUGCAAGUCGGAUGUGAAAUCCCGUGGCUCAACCAUGGACGUGCAUUCGAAACUGCAAAGCUUGAGUAUGGAAGAGGGUCGCGGAAUUCCCGGUGUAGAGGUGAAAUUCGUAGAUAUCGGGAGGAACACCAGUGGCGAAGGCGGCGACCUGGGCCAAUACUGACGCUGAGGUGCGAAAGCGUGGGGAGCAAACAGG
rnacentral:rRNA from 1 species